rnacentral:tRNA from 1 species
CGGCCCGUUGGUCAAGCGGUUAAGACACCGCCCUUUCACGGCGGUAACACGGGUUCGAAUCCCGUAAGGUUGCCCA